AACACUGGGCCGCCUGCAGCAGAGCACGGGAAUUUAACGAUUCGGCCACGGGGCCAGCCCCCAACCAGCUAAUUUUUAUGGCCCUAUGAAUUCUGGUAUUAUCAGCUGGAAGUCUUGGUUGGGACAGGAUUUUCAAAGUAAAACCCACAACGUAUGAAUAUUGCCAUUAGAGAUGAAGUGGUACAUCUUAAUGUAGGCGUUUGUGUGUACAUAUGGAUACACAUAAAUUUACGUAAACACAUAUAUCUAGUCACUUACACAUAAAUAAAUACAUACAUUCACAUUUACACACAUACAUAUAGAGCAGAAUAUAGAGAAAGGUACUUAUACUUUGUCCAUUUUAUUUCACGACAAUCACUAAAAUUCUCAUUGUUAGUAACAUUGAAUUCUAACAAGCAUUUAUAAUAACCAUAUAUUAUAAUGUGUAGCCAUGAGAAAAAAAGUGAAGAUCUACAGAGUUUUAAAUAAGCAAUAUUAUGAACAACAUUCAUUUUGGCUAAACAUCAUAAUGCCCUCUUAGGAAUAUUACUGAAAAUUUUUAAAGCUCAUUUUCUCUUUAGCCAUCAUGAGUUUAGAGUGAAGUGGCAAUGUAGGGAGGAAAAAAAAAACCUACCAUAAAUGCAUUUGAAAGUUUUUUUAUGUGGAUCUACAUAGUGUUGCUAGGGAACAUGGAUUCUUAGCAUUUGAAAACCUAGAAAACCAAGCCUCUUACCUCUUUUGGCCAUGAUUUCUAUGUCAGGAAUCUGAUUUAAGAUAGUUUGGAAAUGAGUUAUCUUCAAAAUAUUUGGAUAUUUACGUUUUAUCAUCAACCUUCCUAAAGAAAUAAUUAUAUGUGUUCAUCUAAUGCUUCGAAAAAGGAGAAUAUACAAUCUAUUAUCUUUCAUUAUUGGGAUGCCAUAUAGCUAUGAAAUAUCAGAAUAGUGGUUAAGAGUAUUGUGAUGGUUAAUUUUAUGUGAUAACUUGACUGGGCCAUAGGUUGCCCAGAUAUUCGAUCAAACAUUACCCUGGGUGUUUGUGUGAGGAUGUUUUGGAUGAGAUUAACAUUUAUAUUGGUAGACUGAGUAAAGCAGGUUGCCUUCUGUAAUGUGGGUGUGCCUCAUCCAAACAACUGAAGGCCUGAAUAGAACAAAAAGGCUGACCCACCCUCUAGUAGGGAGAAUUCUUCCUGCCUAAAUGCCUUCAGACUGGGACAUCAGCUCUGUUCCUGCCUUCAGACUGGAACUGAAACAUCCAUUCUUCCUGGGUCUCGAGCCUGCCAGCCUUUGGACAGGAACUACAUCAUUGACUCUCCUAGUUCCCAGGCCUUCAGAUUUGGACUAGAACUAAGCCAUUCAUUCUCCUGGGUCUCAAGCUUGCCAACUCACCCUGCAGAUCUUGGGACUCAUUUGCCUCCAGAAUUGUGUGGGCCAAUUACUUACAAUAAAUUACUUUCUUUGUCUAUAUAUGUGCAUCAUAUUAGUUCUGUUUCUCUGGAGAACCCUGAGUAAUACAAGUAUAAACUCUGUAGUCAGAUUACCUAGGUUUGAAUCACAGCUCUGUCACUUAUUGCCUAUGUGACUCUCAGCAAGUUUCUUAAAAUCUCUGCUUCAGUUUCUUCAUCUUUAAAAAAGGAAAAAUAAUAGCACCUAUCUAACGGAGCUCUGUGAGAAUUAAAUGUUAUUACAUUUAAGACACUUAGAAGAAUGCCUGACCCAUAGUAAGUGUUCAAUAAACAUUAUCUACUAAUAGUGUUGUGAUUAUGGUGACGGCUGUCAUUUAUCUAUCAGAAAAUAUAUUUUCAGACAGCACGAUUACAAAUUCCAUCCUUUCUUGGCUCUUACUACUUCUUAAACAAACAUAAAUUACUCUUGCCAAUGUUAAGAGAUAAAUAGCCCAGUGAGGAAUUUACAAUACCCUGCUAAAUGGGCUUCCUAUAACAUUGCCAGGAACCCCAGAAAAUAGAAAAAAAAAUAUACAAAACCAGAAAGAAUCAACUGUAGACUAUGUGGGUAAGUAGAGGCAUCCAUGGAGUUAAAGAGAAAGGGUAACUCUGGAAUAAAUGGGGCCACUAGACAUAUCUCUUAAAUGUGUUCAUAUCAAAAAAAAGGGCAUACAUAUGAAGGUAUAAAGUAUGUAUAUUUUCCUAAGCUUCAUAAAAACUUCUGGGUAUGGAGAGAGAUUGAUGUCACAGUCAGACAUCAGAACAGAAGUAAACACCAGUGGAAUUUAGAACUGGAAGUAAAGAACAAUUCUGUAUGCAAAUUGAAACUGCCAGGGGGAACCUAGCCUCCCUGAAUGCUGGACAUUCAGCUUUUGGAGAAAGGUUUCCAGUAGAAGAUCACACUAUCACCACCACUGAAUGUUUCAUUCACUGAUAAAUCAAUUUUCACCAAUAUUUUGGAAAAAUAGACAUCAAUAAGGUAAGGGCUUCCACUUACAGACAAGAGACCAAAUCUGACCUCCUGCCUAAAAUAAGAAGAACAAGAAAAAAAGCAGAAUAUAUGAAAUGAUGGUUUGCAAGACACUGGACAUGAGGAGAUGAAGGACAGAAAUCUCUGAGAGAGCAAACAAACAAGGGUCUUUGAAUUCUAUUAAGUUCUAUGGAUUUCUAGACUCUACUACCAUAGUUUUUAAUGCGAGUUUGGUGAAGAAUCCAGCUCACUGUAACAUUUAUUUAAAUCUUUCUGGGCUGAGAAGAGAGCUAUGGCAAACUCAGAUUUCUAUUCUGAAUUGGAAUUUUCACUUCUCAGAGAGUACCUAAGUCUAGACUAAAUAAUUAACCAACUGAUGGUAUAAUGCACUAAUUGUGAAGAAAGAUUACGCCCUCUGCCACAAGUACAGCAUGCCACAAAUAAUUGUUUCUGGAGCCUGAGUGCCUGAGUGAAAAGACGUAUGGAAUAGAACAACUGACCCAAACCCAACUGAACCUAGUCUUGCCCAGUGGAGUCCAGCCAACUUGCAAACCUAUCAAACCAAGGAGAGCAAAUAAAAUUAUCAUAACUCAUGUCAGAGCAUCAUUUGGACACAGAGUCGACUUACAUAGGAGGUGGUAGUGGGCUCUCCCACUAGUGGGAAAAAGGAGGAACUACGGCAGAAAUAAAGAGAGAGGAGGAAUAGACCAUUAUGUUCAUGUGACAGUAAAGAAUCAGCAGAAGCAUCAAGAGGUUACAACCUUAAUGGAUACAUCCAGACCAAGGAGUUAGGUCUCCUCAGUGAUUUGGAGAAGUUCAAAAGAAAACUCUAACUUUGAUAAAGGGUGGAUUGGAUUAACGAAUGGAGACUUGCUGCAAAAUGGUCGAAAAGGACUUUGUCUAAAAUGGAAUGGACCUCUGGUCCACCUUGAGAGUCAGUGAAUCCAAGUUCACCUGGAGUCUAUACAUUUGGAUAGGCUGUAUUCUGAAGACUACAUGGUGUUAGCAUUGGAAAAUAACAAGAAAAUGAAGAACUAGAAUGUGGAAUAUUGUCACAUGGAAGUACCAUAAGAAGUACAACCAAAGACAAAAUUUAAAUGAAGGAAUUUCGUACAUGUGCAUUUCAAAUGCUCUCAACCACAAAACUGAAGAAAUGACAGACGAAUACAUGAAUUGUCAAACCACUUGCUGUACAAAAAUAAACUUAUGAACUCUAGUGUUUUGCUUAAUAGAAAAUCCUUUCUUUCUUGACUCAAUUAUGACCUCAGACACUCAUCAGAACUUAAUGCAUAUAAAAAAAACAAUUUCAUGCCAAACUUUGAGGCUGUGAAAAAAAAUUGCAUGAGUAGAAUGACAUUUAAAAUGCUUAUUUAAAUCCCAUAGCAUAAAAUUCAACCAUCUGUAAAUUUUAUAUGCUUUCCUCCUGAACUCUGGUGCACACUCAGGUGAGUACAGCUGUUAAGUAUAAACCAAUGGUGGUUCUAAAGGGGAAGUUGUAUAGUCUUUUUAAUUCUGAGUUCACUUUGUCUGGGGAUGUUCAGAUAGUACAUUCAUUUGAGGGAUUGUGGAAAGGGUAAGAUAUGAAAAACUUAAAGUAUUUUGUUAGGAGAUUCUGCUGAGAAGAUGAAUCCUGAUUGUUGCUUUAUACUUGAAAGUACAUCUAUCAGUAACAGGGCCUCUCAGAAGGAAGUCAUCUGAGAGUUGAGAUCACAGUGAAUAAUCUUAGAAGUACUCUAUAUGAAAGUAAAUUGCAGGGUCCAAGUAAUGUGCUACUCUCCCACUAUGACCCUGCCAUAAAUAAAACUGCUUUAACAGUCAAUUGCACAAGGAUGCCUUGUAAAUAGAAGAUAUUCACAAAUUAUUCUUGAUGACAGUCCCAUCUCCACUCAUUCCAGCAAAUUAAAAUGAAGUUGCAAAGGCUUUAAAGAAAUCACACAGCUAGAUAAUUGCAGAGUUUGUUCAGGAAACACACUCCUGAAUAUCACUCCAGCUCUGGGUUGGAUGAUUAAAUUAUGGACAUGUUGAUUGUUUUGAUGAAAGAAGCUUACAUGUUCAUUUAAUCUAAGAAAUCCUUCACUUCACAUAUAACACCCACACAGAUAUCUUUUUUUAAGUUUUAAGUUAGCUAAGUGUUGAAUGGUUAAAGCCCUUGGUCAUUGUUCUUUAGGGUAUCAUUCU